AAAAAUCCAAAAUACCCCUUUGUCAUCUACCCUCCCCUCGACUCAUUCUCCCUGCUCUCCCCUCCGUCGCCGCCGCCGCCUCCCCUCUCGUCACCUUCUUUCCUUGACUAUCGAAACCCUAGGCCUAGAGGCAAUAUCCUGUAUGAUUCCGCCACCGGCACGACGAGGACCCUCGCCUGCCGCCUCUCUGAUCAUCUUCGCUCCCUCGGCCUCGCCUUCGACCUCGUCGACCGCCGGCACAGGUGUCUACAAGAAAGUCAUCUAAGACGGAAGACUAUAUGAUCCUGGGGUAUAUAUGGUGCAGAGAAUUUGAUCCAGAUCAAUGUCGAUACAAGGGAAAAGAGGCACCAUGGAGCUGCUCGGCAGAUUUAGCUGGUUCAGGUUCAGAUAGCAUUAUGCCUUUUUCCCAACAAGUAGUUGCACUGCCAAAUCAGUUUUAUCCUGGGAAUUUUGGGAGAAUUAUCCUAUGUACAUCUCAGAAAGCAAGGUAGCUGCAACUUUACUUUGAACUUUCCGGUUGCAUUGACCUCUGGGAAUGCGUAAAAGUUGGGUCAUCUUUUUUAACCUUCUCAUCGAAUUGAUGACGUUUGGGCCUACCUAAAUGCUUAGGUUCUCACAUAGCACAAUUUUGUUGGCAAGAAAAGCUUCCAUUGUCACAUCCAGCUUUGUAGUAUGAAGGCCCUCAUUGGUUUUCUUUAUCUUAAACAUUUGUUUCAGAUAUUUUCACCAAUUCAUUUUUAGGGCUGUCUAAUAUGGUGUGCACUAAUGUUGUUGCUUAUGAUGAUGUGGUAUAUAGUGUGAUGUGCCUUGGAAUAUAUGACCUAUGAUUCUAAGUUGGGUGCUGCAGCAAAGAAAUAAUACUGGUAGAUGACCAAAAAAAGAAUGAUAUUAGUUACCCAUGGGAUAUGUUACUUUAGCUGUUCUAGUAUAAGGUAUCCUUUGCUUUAGUCAUCUACUAUUAUGUAAUAGGAUGCUGCAAGACUUAACCUUGAUGUCUGGUAAGGGCACUUAAUGUGGGUUGGGACCAUCUGAAGGAGCUCUUGAUCUGGUUAUAAAUAGACCAGCAGUAAUUGAAUAGGUAAAUAACUAUUGCAAUACCUUGAGAAAGCAUCAAAUUUUUUGUGUAGCUCUGUAAAAUUUUGAAUAUGCUAUCUUCUUGUGAAACUAUUGUUACACUAGCAUUUUUAUGCCCUUCUAUAGUGCACAGGAAGAUAAACCAUCACUGAACAUGUAUAUAGUUCCCAAUAAAAAUCGAUAUAGAUGCAAGGAUAUGCUGAACACUGACAGUUUCUCUCUCGUUUUGUUCAGGAAAGAGAACUACAGUAUCCAUAAGUAGUGCUCAAGCCCAUUCUCGGGAUCAAUGAUCUCACCAAGAUGGAGCAAUCAAACAACUGCUAAGUUCCAACAUGAAAGCUUAGCAUAGAAGAAAAGAAAGCAGAAGAAGCAGAGGGAAAAGGUAAAAUGGAUUUAUCUAACCAACACAGAACUCUAGCAGAAGUGUACAGUGGAUGGGUUUAGGUGCUCUUGCGGGGCUGCUGGCUCUUUCUCCUUGUUCUGCUCCUUGGCUUGUCCUCUUCCUCUUGAUGUUGGAUUGGUUCCAUCUCCCCAGCCUCUUCCUUCCCCUCGUCAUCAUCAUCAUCAUCAUCGUCAUCAGCAACAGCAACUGCAGCUAACGAGGAACAGGAUUCCUCUGCUCCCUUUCGCUCCUCUUCUUCGCCUCCGCUCCCCACCUUCUUCUUCUUCAGCUUAUCUUCCUCUUCUGCGACCACUUUCCGAGGCCGGCCUCGUCUUCUCUUAGCCUGCUCUUUAUCCACGGGUUGCUCCGACGACUCGCUGAUCGACCGCCUCUUAGCCUUCUUCUUCCCCAUAUGCAAUCAAAACUUGAUCUUUCUUUCUGCUCUCCCUCUCUCUCGCUGAUCCCUCAACAAAAAGCCAAGACUGGUCUGGUAGAUCAAUGGAAAGUUGAACGCGGAUCAUAUCCUUGUCACGGACUCGCUCUCCACAGAAGAGAUCUCAUGCUCGCCCUCAGAAAAGUUCAUGUAACAUCUGCUAUUCCUUCUUCCAACCGAAGCCCGAUCUCAAUCAUCUCUCUCUGUCUACUGCUCUGCUUCUCCAAAGUGGUAGAGAAAGAUAAGAAGCAUAAUAAUCCAACCGCUGCUUCUCUCGGUGUCAGUGGCGUGGAUACGAGGAAAGAAUACCGGCUGCUUCGAUUAGGUUAACCACGUCAGCCGAUGGGCCCACCCCUGAUCAAAUCAAAAUAAGGAUCGCCAGCCAAUCCAAUCGUUCCCAAUCUUCCUGCUUUGAAUAUUUGACUUGAUUUAUAAGAAUUAGAUAAAUUUCUUAAUAAUAUUAUUUCAUGUUUAAUAUUUUAAUUAGUGACUGAAUUAGAAUGUGU